GUAGUUAGCCGGGGCUUCCUCCUUGGCUACCGUCACUUUCUUCGUCACCAAGGACAGAGGUUUACAACCCGAAAGCCUUCUUCCCUCACGCGGCGUUGCUGGGUCAGGCUUGCGCCCAUUGCCCAAUAUUCCCCACUGCUGCCUCCCGUAGGAGUCUGGACCGUGUCUCAGUUCCAGUGUGGCCGAUCAGCCUCUCAGCUCGGCUACCCAUCGUUGGCUAGGUGGGCCGUUACCCCGCCUACUACCUAAUGGGACGCGAACCCCUCCUUUAGCGGAUUUCUCCUUUGACCUCUGUGUCAUGCGGCACUGUGGUCUUAUGCGGUAUUAGCACCUGUUUCCAAGUGUUAUCCCCCUCUAAAGGGCAGGUUGUUCACGCGUUACUCACCCGUGCGCCACUAGAAUUAUCAAUUCCAUCCGAAAACUUCCUUAAUAAUCCCCGUUCGACUUGCAUGUGUUAGGCACGCCGCCAGCGUUCGUCCUGAACCAAGAUCAAAUUCUGA
rnacentral:rRNA from 1 species